CGGAGGUCCCGGAGGUCCUGGGAUCCCAGUUUCUCCUGGAAGUCCUCUUGGUCCUGGAGGUCCCAGAAGCCCUGCAAAGAAAUAGAAGAGGAGAUUUCUGACAAGUUGGAGACACAUUAGCAGAUGUACUGGGGCAAAGAAAAUGACUCGGAACUGUUCCAUUCCAGACGUGAACUUCGGUGGAACUCCAUCAGCUCCGCUAAUAAUGCAAUGGUACAGGGCCCUAGAUGCCUGCCUUUCGCUGUGUUCUGCAUACCCUCCUAAAACUGUUCUCCUUGAUUAAAUGUGUUCCUUUAACAUAGCACCUCUAACAAGCAUCAGAGCAGUUAGUUCAUGUAGAGAUCGCAUCAUUUCCCCCCAUGCUGAAAUGCAGCAUUAUCCAACAGUUUUGUAAGGGAAGUACUAGGAUAAAUGCUGAUUCAGGAAAGCACUUAAGCACGUACUUAAAUCACAAGUCAAUGGGACUUGUGUGUGUUUAAGUGUGUUUUUUUCCUAAACUGAGACCAUAGUUCCUUCAAAACUGGAACAAGAAAAUAAUUGGAUGGAAGAAAAAAUGCAUCAGGCCCACUGAACUAAAUUCACCCCAGAGCUAAUGUAACUGCAGGCUUUGGAGUUAAAUUAGGGGUCAGUGUGGCCUCGUUUCUUGAUGGUGGUUUCCUGCCUCCCUCUUCAUCAACCUAGUGUUCAGAAAGCAAGACACCAGGCCCUGUGAAUAAUGACCUUGAAGUCAAGGAGGGAGUUCGGCUAGUUCGCGCCAGCAGAGAUUCAGUUCCUUCGCACUUAACCUAGCUCCCAGUUUAAUUAGUCUCUGCUGUGCCCUUGUCAGACUAAUGUGUUCCACAGAACGUUUGUCAUUUCUGGCUUUGUCGCAUUAUUGGCUCCCGCCAUGCAUUGUACUACAUAAAUUACACACUUCAUCCUUUUUGUAAGUUUAACAAAAAAAAAAAGCAUCAUUCUCCUUUAUAAUUACA